AUGGAAAGAGGGGGGGUUUUGGUAGCUAAAGAUUGGAUUUUUAAUCUGUCAGAUUUUGGGUGGGUGGAGAUACAUUGGUGGGCGCGUGGAGAAUGUGAAGCAGUUGAAUGUUAGCCGGAGAAGUGAGAGCAACGAGUAUUUGACUCAUUAGAAUUGCUAACUGUACGUGGUUAGUUUGUUCGGAUUGUUGAAUGUGUAAUAGUGUUACGGAUGUUAGACCACCAGUAGUCGCCGUUCAGGGCCGGCUUUGGGCCUGUGCGAGAAGUGCCACCGCGCAGGGCCCAAAGCAUCUACGGCCCAAUAUUGUUUAAAAAAUAUGUAUGUUUUUAAUAUAUAUAAAUUUGAUGUAGAAAGUUAAUACACAAGUUCUCCCUUUGGCUUAAUGGAUGCAAGAGUUAUGUGAUUAACUGAACAUUACGAGUUCGGUUCCCACUGUUAUGUCUUUUGUGUUCUAAAUUUUGUUUUGUCUUCUAGGCUUGUUUCAUUAAUUGGGGAAACUCAUACCAACAAUUUGCAAGCUUAUUUUUUACUUUUAGUUAGCUUAUCUUUUAGUUUUAAUUUUGAAUUUUCACUUUUAAAUUUAGGCUUUCAUAAAGUUGUAAGUUCUUUGAUUUUUUUUCUUCUAUUUAACAAUUUACAAAACAAACUUUACAUGUUUACUUGUUUAAAUUUGUAGGUUUUUUAUUUCUCGUUUCUCAUUUAACCAUUUACAAUAUAAAUUUAGAAGAACUCAGUAUCUGGUUCUAUUUAUUUUAUUUGUAUGACAAGGUUCGUGUUGCCAAACUAAUUUGGAUAUGUUUACACAUAUAUUACAAUUCUUCUUGCUAAAGAAGAUUCAAGUGUUGAAACUAAUGUUAGGUGUAUCAAUUUAUUUGUAAGAUAAAACUAGGAUUUCUUGUUUUUAAUCAAUGUUAAUUUAUUGAAAUAUAAGGAAGAAUCAGUAUGGAUUAUAAAUACUUGAUCGAGAGCUUUACUUCCAAAAACUCUAGAAGUGUCUCACGAUUUGUUUAAGUAAGUUUGAUCAUUUUGCUACACUAUUUUUGUUUCGUUUAUGUUAUCACAAUUAGCGUCGUAAUGUGGGUUUUUGAUAUAUGAUUGAUGAGUUUAAAUUAUAGGGAGGGGGCCCAAUCUUUUUUGUCUCGCACAAGGCCCAAAAGUUUUAUAUCAUUCUCCGGGACGGCCCUGUCGCCGUUAUCCGGCGUUUUCUUCCACUAAACACACCCGAAAACGUCAAAUCCUCCACCCCUGCCGGCGUGUUUCGGCGUUUUUUUUGCAAAAAAAUGAGUUGAGGUGUUUUAUAUUUCACGCCGGAGAAGAAAUGGGUUGACAAAUGAGAGUUAUCUCCUUUUCCUUUGGCCAAUCAAUUUUUUUUCAUGUUUUUUUAAUUUAUUUAAUUCUUUGUAUAUAGAGUGGGAUCUUGCGGAAAGUGUGUUUUUCCUAGAAAGUGUAGGAAGCGAUCUGGGCCAUCAGAAGAGUGUGUUUAAUGGUUGAGAUCAUUUUGGUGGCAUUUUGGUAAUAUACGUGUCUUUAAAAUAUGUUAAUUUAAUUGAUUAGGGUAAAUGUAUCAUUUAAGUUGUUUUAAAUAAGGAAAUAAAUAC
rnacentral:lncRNA from 1 species